rnacentral:rRNA from 1 species
UACGUAGGGGGCAAGCGUUGUCCGGAUUUAUUGGGCGUAAAGAGCGUGUAGGCGGCCAGGUAGGUCCGCUGUGAAAACUCGAGGCUCAACCUCGAGAUGUCGGCGGAAACCAUCUGGCUAGAGUCCGGAAGAGGAGAGUGGAAUUCCUGGUGUAGCGGUGAAAUGCGCAGAUAUCAGGAAGAACACCAAUGGCGAAGGCAGCUCGCUGGGACGGUACUGACGCUGAGACGCGAAAGCGUGGGGAGCAAACAGG